GCAUCGGUGGUUCAAUGGUAGAAUGCCCGCCUCCCACGCGAGUGAUCCGGGUUCGAUUCCCGGCCGAUGCA
rfam:Drosophila ficusphila unplaced genomic scaffold scf7180000453843, whole genome shotgun sequence